ensembl:snRNA U6 U6 spliceosomal RNA
CUGCUUGCAUUGGUAGCACAUAUACUAAAAUUGGAAUGAUACAGAGGAGAUUAGCCAUUGUGCAAGAAUGACACACAAAUUCGUGAAGCACUCCUUAUUUUU